UUUGAGAUUGUAAUAAUCUCGUCGCGCGGCUUCGCCCCUUUGGUACUCCGCAGCCGCGCAUCGCCAGUAUGGUAUUAUGGAGCUCACAGCCUCGCCAGUUUGGGACAUUUAAUCCCCCGCCCUCUGUUAACGUAUGUUUUGCAAAUCUUAAUGCCGGUUGUGUUCCCCUUCGGACUAACAUACCCCUACGGGUUUCUUGCGCUCGGUUGGCAGCCGGACUAACGCGCGCCGCCGUCUGCCAGCUUGGGGACUCGACUGCUCGCCACCAGGUGCUCACCUCCAUUCCCCAGCUUCCAUCUGCGAGCGCUGCCGUCUGCCAGCAGGGGCACUCGCCACCAGCCAGAUUUCCGCCCCACCCCCUGCCACCGGACAGCUGUCGUCGCCACCUCCUUGCAUCCCCAUGGUUUCCCCUGUGGAAAGAGUGGAUCUACCUGUUAGGAGCUCGGAUUUGUCUGAUCCCCAAGAUUUUCUGUUAGGGGAUGAACAGAGAAUGGAGGUUUGAUAGAAAUAUUGUCCAGCAGUUUAGUUUUUGAUGCAUCUUAGCCGAGUACUUCAUAGCUCUCUUAAUUGGAUGUUUGCAGGUAUUAGAAAUUGAUUGGGGGGCAAUACAAAUUGAUGAUAGAUGGGAGGAAGAAGGAGAACAAGAGACUGCCUCUGAGUCAGUGAUGUAUGAUCGGUUAGGAUUGUUAGCUGAAGAUGAACGUGAAACUACUGAAAGGCAAGAGACUGUCCGCCAAAGCGAUGAAUUUAAUGAUGAAUUGCCCUGCACUGAUUGCAUACCACAAGAAAGGGUAUUUGAGUGCAAUAGAUCUAAUCCAGUAAUGAAGAUUGGGAGUUUGUACAAGGAUAUGAAAGAAUUUAGACUGGCUAUCAGGCAAUAUGCAAUUAAUAAUGAGUUUGAGUUAGGGAUUGAGUCAAGCUCACCAUUCAGAUAUCGAGCUUAUUGCAAAGGAGGUGAUUGUCCAUGGAGAAUCAAUGCAAGGCUACAAAAUGCCGGGUCUCCCACAGUCGUUGUUACAGUUAUCGUGGAUAAGCACACAUGCACUUCUAGUGGUCGUCGAAAAACAACAACACCCACCAGCUCAUGGGUUGCUUCCCUAGCAAUGCCAUUCCUUACGAAGAAACCACAUAUGGGAGCUAAAGAAUUGCAAAAUACCUUGCAAGAGCAGCA